UAUAGAAUUUUGUUAAUUAUUUUAUUUAUGUUGACUUUUGUAUCUUAGGCGAACGCGUGUACAUGCACUCCAACUUCCUAUCUUCGCAAGGGGAAGUCGAUUGAGUGCCCGACGGCGGACUCGAGCCCGAAAAAAAAAAAAAGGGGAAUCCUAGGAAGAAGCGGAUGACGUCCUUACGUACGAUCAGAUUUUGACGGAUGUCCACCCGUGUGCGUAUAGAUUUUAUGCGGAUUUACCUCCGCACAGAGAUAUUAUGAGUUGAGCUGCGCAAUUAUAUGAAAUUUUAUUCCGUUGACUGCUGUCCCUAUAAUUAUUUCUAUACGGAUGUUCGUCAGCACGACUACUAUAUACGCGCGUCCGCAGCUGAGCGCUGUCCAGGAGAAUAAUUGUAUAUUCGCAAGACAUCCGUAUACGACUCUGCUGGGAACGGAGUCCGCAUAUAUUCCUCAUGAGGUGAAAUCAAAGAAAUUUCUCGCGCUCGUCGCCGCUUCUCUUUAUAAUGAAGUUUCCGCCGGUAAAAUGAGCCCAAAAUUACUACGGAGGGGAGGGAGAGAUGAAAGGGGAGAGGCCGAAGCUUACCCUCGAAGACUACGUCGCUUUCUUCAACAACAAGCAUGGGAGGAGUGGUCUCACCAUCGCUCAACUCAACCAGAUCGUCCUCAUGCACGGAUUCGUCAAGCUGCACCGGUGCCAAAAGGCGCACAUCCUGAUGGCCCUGCGCUCGCUGGAGCUGAUGCGGCCGGACCGAUCGACACUGCGGCACCUCCCGCCGGUCACUGGAGCGGCGCUGUCGCUGGAGGAUGUGAAGCGGGACAUUGAGUCCCUCGGUUGGCAGGAGUGCCCCGUGGCCUCGGUGUUGAGUGUGGGUGAAACGGCGGCGAUGGAGGCCGUGCCGAUCUCGUCCUCCCCCGACCUCAGCCGCUCCACUCCCGCCACCGACCACCAGAAGAAGGCGACAGGAAAUGCCGAAGGGAAGAGGAAGCGGAUCUCGAUCGAUGCUUCUCUCUCAUCCUUUAUCGAUGGCUAGGGGAUGCGUUUUGUUUGCCGUUUUCCGUUUCCAUUUCUGUUACUUUGUUCUCUGAUUCUACCCAUGUUAUCCACUGCUAUUUCCGAUGAUUGAUUGGUAUGGCCUACCACGAAAUAUUUUGUCCCGAUUAUUGAUUUUGCGAAAAAAAGUGGUUGUGAAUUUGUUGCACGUGUACAUGUGCAAAACUUCGUCGUAGUCCAUAUUCGCAUGCUAGAAUCGUGAGGUUUUGAUGGAUGGCUGUACAAAUAAAACGCAGAGGAAGAAACCGUCUGAUCAACGACUAACUGCCCGCACACGCUAUAACCUGUAACAAAGGAUCAAAUAGUCUCAAGCAUAAGCUUGGAACCGUCUGAUCAACGUAGGCAAACGGAGUGAUUUCUCUACCAGAUGUCAUAUGGAAACAGAAGACGGCACCGCGGCACACCGCUCUAAGACUAUAUAAUGCAUGUACGCCUAGAAGAGCCAAAACACAUCCAGUCGAGAGAGAGAUAGAUGAAGAGUGGGACGAAGAUUACGCUGGAGCAGUACCUCAAUUUCUACGAGGAUCCAUGGCGGGCCAACCUAUUGCGCGCCCAUCUCGAUCAGAUCAUUGUCAUGCAUGGCUUCAUCAAACUGCACAACUUUCCCAAGGAUCUUGUACAGCGAUACUUGGGUUCCAUUGAGCUGAUUCCGCCGACGAGGUCGACUCUGGAUGAGGAUAUCUCGUCCGGCGCGCUCCUGACGGUGGCGGAGGUGGCGGAGGACCUCGCCGCCCUCGGCUGGCAUGAGUGCACAGUCCGCUCCCUUCGGACCCUCAAGCCCGCGGCGGAGCUCGAGCACUUCACGGCCGUCGAGGCGGAUCUCCCCUUUAUCGCCGCCUCAUCCACCGCCGACCAACUUCCCCGCCCGCAACCUCGACCCCGUCGCUGCCGCCUACGUCGACCCUCUAGGGCUCCCCCCGCCGACUUCGUGAUCAUGGGCAGGCGGCCAAGGUCCAAGAGAAAGCGCGUCUCCGUCAACGCCCUCACCGCCGCCGACCUGUUCGCUACCUCCUCCCCGCGCACCGCGUACUCGAUUCCUCCGCCGCCGUCAUCUCCGCCUCCGCCGACUCCUCCACCGCCGUUAUCCCCGCCUCCGCGGACGCCUCCACCGCCGUCAUCUCCGCCUCCGGGCACACCAUCGUCCACGCCCCCGAUGACUCUGCCUCUCUGGUAGCCUUCGUACGGUGCGAGCUGUGGAGUGUGGAGGAUUGCUUAACACUGGAACCGAUGCCGUCUUGACCGUCCAAUACGGUUCGAGACAUCCUUUUUGCCCUUCUUGCCGAAGAGUGAUUUUCCCCUUUUCUUUUUCCUUGUGGGCAGUGAGCGGGCUCCAUGGGGUGGCAGGUGCGGCCUGCUUAAUGUUUGUUCGUACGCUUCUUUACUCCGCUGGAUCCAAGCUGUGCCCCUUUAGUUGGAAUGUGAUUACGAUGACACUUUUGUUUUCUUUUCUUGAGACCUUUUUUUGGUUUUCUUUUCCGAGACUUAAAGAAUCAAUUAUGUGAAUGAUACCUACGUUUGUGCCGUUAUACUAA